rnacentral:misc_RNA from 1 species
GUGAAUCAUCGAAUCUUUGAACGCACAUUGCGCCCGCCAGUAUUCUGGCGGGCAUGCCUGUCCGAGCGUCAUUUCAACCCUCGAACCCCUCCGGGGGGUCGGCGUUGGGGAUCGGGAACCCCUAAGACGGGAUCCCGGCCCCGAAAUACAGUGGCGGUCUCGCCGCAGCCUCUCCUGCGCAGUAGUUUGCACAACUCGCACCGGGAGCGCGGCGCGUCCACGUCCGUAAAACACCCAACUUCUGAAAUGUUGACCUCGGAUCAGGUAGGAAUACCCGCUGAACUUAAGCAUAUCAAUAAGCGGAGGA